UACGGGGGGGGGCAAGCGUUGUUCGGAAUUACUGGGCGUAAAGGGCUCGUAGGCGGCCAACUAAGUCGGACGUGAAAUCCCCAGGCUCAACCUGGGAACUGCGUCCGAUACUGGAUGGCUUGAAUUCGGGAGAGGGAUGCAGAAUUCCAGGUGUAGCGGUGAAAUGCGUAGAUAUCUGGAGGAAUACCGGUGGCGAAGGCGGCAUCCUGGACCGACAUUGACGCUGAUGAGCGAAAGCGUGGGGAGCGAACAGG
rnacentral:rRNA from 1 species